AUACCCUUUUUCGGCCGCUGCAAAAUCAGCGGUCGGACGUGGAAGUCUGAUCU
rnacentral:ncRNA from 1 species